rnacentral:lncRNA from 1 species
GAAUUUUCCAUUGGGGUUUCACAUCGGACUCGGAUCGAUCAAUUGAUUCAUAUAACUGAUGUUGGGUUUGACGAGAUCACCUUAACCCUAAUUCAGUCGAGACUCAUGAUAGAGGAACUCAAUCACAUAGAUAGCUGCACCGAGAGGUUCAUCUUCAUUUCUGAUGGGUUGCCACCAUAUACUGCUAGGUAUCACUCAU